UACGUAGGGCGCAAGCGUUAUCCGGAAUUACUGGGCGUAAAGCGCACGUAGGCGGCUUUUGUAAGUUAGAGGUGAAAGCCCGGGGCUCAACUCCGGAACUGCCUUUUAAGACUGCAUCGCUUGAAUCCAGGAGAGGUGAGUGGAAUUCCGAGUGUAGAGGUGAAAUUCGUAGAUAUUCGGAAGAACACCAGUGGCGAAGGCGGCUCACUGGACUGGUAUUGA
rnacentral:rRNA from 1 species